rnacentral:ncRNA from 1 species
UUAAAAAUUAGAGUCUCAGGCGCUCAGUCAGAGCAUAAAAGGGAACCCCGUGCAAACCGGGGACGGGCCCGCCGCUGUGAUCGGGGACGAAUGCCGCAAGACGCCACUGUUUAGUUUUAUCGAAACGGGAAGGCGCGGCGAGUAGGAGCAGACCUCGUGUCUGCAGAUCCGUAAGUCAGAAGACCUGCCUGAACAUAAUAGAACUUU